UGUACGGCAGUGGAGGUGGUCAGCUUUCGGACACAACUCCGGUGACACACUAGUAUUCUACCUUUGGGAUGAAACAAAUUAUGGCCUAUUUUAAGUGUUUCGUAAAAACAAAACAGUAACAGCUUUUAACUGAACUCCGAGCCACCGUGUGUGCCUUAGAGCCUUGUGUGGCUGCUCAGGAAUUUAAAACUGCACAACGGG
rfam:Rattus norvegicus chromosome 15, whole genome shotgun sequence.